UGAGAAUUGAUUGUUGGCUGGAUGUGUUUUCUACUGUGUGUUCUUAGAUCUAUGGCUAGUUGUUGACUAGGCAUAUAUUUGGUGGGAUUACUUUGUUGGUCUAGUUUGUGGUAAGCUAGAUUACCAUUUAAUUUUACCCCUUCAACCUAAGUACCAAUUUCACUUGGUAUCAAUACUCCGACUAUUUAACGCAAAUAGAGAGAUCCUA
rnacentral:lncRNA from 1 species